AUUGAACGCUGGCGGCAUGCCUAACACAUGCAAGUCGAACGGUAACGCGGGGGCAACCCUGGCGACGAGUGGCGGACGGGUGAGUAAUACGUAGGAAUCUGCCCAUUUGUGGGGGAUAACCCGGCGAAAGCCGGGCUAAUACCGCAUACGCUCUACGGAGGAAAGCGGGGGAUCGUAAGACCUCGCGCUAAUGGAUGAGCCUACGUCGGAUUAGCUAGUUGGUAGGGUAAUGGCCUACCAAGGCGACGAUCCGUAGCUGGUCUGAGAGGACGAUCAGCCACACUGGGACUGAGACACGGCCCAGACUCCUACGGGAGGCAGCAGUGGGGAAUAUUGGACAAUGGGGGCAACCCUGAUCCAGCAAUGCCGCGUGUGUGAAGAAGGCCUGCGGGUUGUAAAGCACUUUCAGAGGGGAAGAAAAAAUCGGAGCUAACACCUCCGAGCUUGACGUUACCCUUAGAAGAAGCACCGGCUAACUCCGUG
rnacentral:rRNA from 1 species